UUUAUAUUUUAUCAUUUUUUUAAUGGCUUCUUUUCGCUGAUUUGGUUUUAUUUUGGGUGAGGAGGGUUAUUUUGGGAACUUCAGAUCGUGUACGUGUGUGGAAGGGGAGCAAAUCUCGCUGGAUUUUCGCAGUAUGAUUUUGAGUCAUAAGUUGGACUCUCUUGUCGACGUUGUCUUCCUCACGCCCAAUUGCUAUUCGCUUCAAGCCGUCCAUCGUCUCUGCUUCAGUUCUCCGUCUCAGAUGGUCGCCGAUAAUGGUAGGAACACCAAAUGUCCCCGUCUGGUAACAAAGUCGUCCGCUGCUCGAGGACUGUCGAGGAAUAUCCAUAUGCACACCUAUGUUUAUAUCAGAGUUUCACAAAGAAGUAUUCUGAUCUGAAGAAAUCAAAUUAAAAUAUGAAAGUCUGAAGAAAUGUUGAUGAUUGUCCACACAUGUAUGAUGUAUACAACUCCAUUGAUUUUAUAGCAUGUGGGUUGAAUGAAGAUUAUCAAGGACGAAGCUUCUUGCAUGGUAGAUUGGUAGUAAAUCUUUGCCCAGAACAUAAUGAGUAAUGUGUAGGUGGAGAAGAAGAGAAGCCCUGGGAGAUCCAAUAGCAACACUCUUAGUGCGUGCUCAUUCAUAUUCAUGCAUUUUAGUUAGCCAAACGCCCGUAAAUUCCCAGGACUACUUAAACCCUGUCAAAUUGAUGGGAUGCUAUAGUGGUAGAUUUGAAUCCAGUCAUUUACUUUAUUAAUUUAUAAUUUAUACAUGGCUUAGUUCUUGUGCAGGAUACAUAGCACUGAAUGCUACUCUGCGCAGAGAUGUAAACGGUUGUUUUGAUUCCUAAAUCACCUUUUCAUUUAGGAACAGUUCGUUAAACAUUGUUUAAUCGCCGUAUAUUGACAACGAUGAUGGGUAUUGGUAGUGA